rnacentral:rRNA from 1 species
AUUGAACGCUGGCGGCAUGCUUUACACAUGCAAGUCGAACGGCAGCGCGGGCUUCGGCCUGGCGGCGAGCGGCGAACGGGUGAGUAAUGCAUCGGAACGUGCCCAGUAGUGGGGGAUAGCCCGGCGAAAGCCGGAUUAAUACCGCAUACGACCUGAGGGUGAAAGCGGGGGACCGAAAGGCCUCGCGCUAUUGGAGCGGCCGAUGUCGGAUUAGCUAGUUGGUGGGGUAAAGGCUUACCAAGGCGACGAUCCGUAGCUGGUCUGAGAGGACGACCAGCCACACUGGGACUGAGACACGGCCCAGACUCCUACGGGAGGCAGCAGUGGGGAAUUUUGGACAAUGGGGGCAACCCUGAUCCAGCCAUGCCGCGUGCGGGAAGAAGGCCUUCGGGUUGUAAACCGCUUUUGUUCGGGAAGAAAUCCUCUGGGCUAAUACCCCGGGGGGAUGACGGUACCGGAAGAAUAAGCACCGGCUAACUACGUG